AACGUAGGACGCAAGCGUUAUCCGGAGUUACUGGGCGUAAAGCGCGGGCAGGCGGCUCGAAACGUCUGAUGUGAAAUCUCCUCGCUCAACGGGGAGAGGCCAUUGGAAACGGUCGAGCUGGAGGGCAGUAGAGGUAGGCGGAAUUCCGGGUGGAGUGGUGAAAUGCGUAGAGAUCCGGAGGAACACCAGAGGCGAAGGCGGCCUGCUGGGCAGUUUUGCUGACACUGAGGCGCGACAGCGUGGGGAGCAAACAGG
rnacentral:rRNA from 1 species